rnacentral:rRNA from 1 species
CGGCAGGCUUAACACAUGCAAGUCGAGCGGGCGUAGCAAUACGUCAGCGGCAGACGGGUGAGUAACGCGUGGGAACGUACCUUUUGGUUCGGAACAACACAGGGAAACUUGUGCUAAUACCGGAUAAGCCCUUACGGGGAAAGAUUUAUCGCCGAAAGAUCGGCCCGCGUCUGAUUAGCUAGUUGGUGAGGUAAUGGCUCACCAAGGCGACGAUCAGUAGCUGGUCUGAGAGGAUGAUCAGCCACAUUGGGACUGAGACACGGCCCAAACUCCUACGGGAGGCAGCAGUGGGGAAUAUUGGACAAUGGGGGCAACCCUGAUCCAGCCAUGCCGCGUGAGUGAUGAAGGCCCUAGGGUUGUAAAGCUCUUUUGUGCGGGAAGAUAAUGACGGUACCGCAAGAAUAAGCCCCGGCUAACUUCGUGCCAGCAGCCGCGGUAAUACGAAGGGGGCUAGCGUUGCUCGGAAUCACUGGGCGUAAAGGGUGCGUAGGCGGGUCUUUAAGUCAGGGGUGAAAUCCUGGAGCUCAACUCCAGAACUGCCUUUGAUACUGAAGAUCUUGAGUUCGGGAGAGGUGAGUGGAACUGCGAGUGUAGAGGUGAAAUUCGUAGAUAUUCGCAAGAACACCAGUGGCGAAGGCGGCUCACUGGCCCGAUACUGACGCUGAGGCACGAAAGC